GAGACGUUUGGCCAUGGAGCAAUCUGGCAAUACUAACUUUGUCCCCUUAGUACCCUUUCCCCCAGAUUACUUUGCCAAAAAGGAAAAACCACAGGCAGAUGGAACAGAUUCAACAGACAGGUCCAAUGUUGAAUCAUCCUCAGUAUCUGAAGGGACUGAGAUGUCAGGUGAUGCUACAGCUAGACCUGAACAGAGUCCAGGACCUUCUUCUGAUCAGAUCUCAAGUAAAAACAAUCGUAUUGGUUCUACUUAUGCGGCUUCAAGCAGUGGAGAUUCAAGUCAGGAUUUUAAGAGACGUUUGGCCAUGGAGCAAUCUGGCAAUACUAACUUUGUCCCCUUAGUACCCUUUCCCCCAGAUUACUUUGCCAAAAAGGAAAAACCACAGGCAGAUGGAACAGAUUCAACAGACAGGUCCAAUGUUGAAUCAUCCUCAGUAUCUGAAGGGACUGAGAUGUCAGGUGAUGCUACAGCUAGACCUGAACAGAGUCCAGGACCUUCUUCUGAUCAGAUCUCAAGUAAAAACAAUCGUAUUGGUUCUACUUAUGCGGCUUCAAGCAGUGGAGAUUCAAGUCAGGAUUUUAAGAGACGUUUGGCCAUGGAGCAAUCUGGCAAUACUAACUUUGUCCCCUUAGUACCCUUUCCCCCAGAUUACUUUGCCAAAAAGGAAAAACCACAGGCAGAUGGAACAGAUUCAACAGACAGGUCCAAUGUUGAAUCAUCCUCAGUAUCUGAAGGGACUGAGAUGUCAGGUGAUGCUACAGCUAGACCUGAACAGAGUCCAGGACCUUCUUCUGAUCAGAUCUCAAGUAAAAACAAUCGUAUUGGUUCUACUUAUGCGGCUUCAAGCAGUGGAAAUUCAAGUCAGGAUUUUAAGAGACGUUUGGCCAUGGAGCAAUCUGGCAAUACUAACUUUGUCCCCUUAGUACCCUUUCCCCCAGAUUACUUUGCCAAAAAGGAAAAACCACAGGCAGAUGGAACA
rnacentral:lncRNA from 1 species